rnacentral:rRNA from 1 species
AUGCAGUCGAGCGGUAGCACAGAGAGCUUGCUCUCGGGUGACGAGCGGCGGACGGGUGAGUAAUGUCUGGGAAACUGCCUGAUGGAGGGGGAUAACUACUGGAAACGGUAGCUAAUACCGCAUAAYGUCGCAAGACCAAAGUGGGGGACCUUCGGGCCUCAUGCCAUCAGAUGUGCCCAGAUGGGAUUAGCUAGUAGGUGGGGUAACGGCUCACCUAGGCGACGAUCCCUAGCUGGUCUGAGAGGAUGACCAGCCACACUGGAACUGAGACACGGUCCAGACUCCUACGGGAGGCAGCAGUGGGGAAUAUUGCACAAUGGGCGCAAGCCUGAUGCAGCCAUGCCGCGUGUGUGAAGAAGGCCUUCGGGUUGUAAAGCACUUUCAGCGGGGAGGAAGGCGAUAAGGUUAAUAACCUUGUYGAUUGACGUUACCCGCAGAAGAAGCACCGGCUAACUCCGUGCCAGCAGCCGCGGUAAUACGGAGGGUGCAAGCGUUAWUCGGAAUUACUGGGCGUAAAGCGCACGCAGGCGGUCUGUCAAGUCGGAUGUGAAAUCCCCGGGCUCAACCUGGGAACUGCAUUCGAAACUGGCAGGC